rnacentral:rRNA from 1 species
UAGGGAAUCUUCGGCAAUGGACGGAAGUCUGACCGAGCAACGCCGCGUGAGUGAAGAAGGUUUUCGGAUCGUAAAGCUCUGUUGUUAGAGAAGAACGUUGGUAGGAGUGGAAAAUCUACCAAGUGACGGUAACCAACCAGAAAGGGACGGCUAACUACGUGCCAGCAGCCGCGGUAAUACGUAGGUCCCGAGCGUUGUCCGGAUUUAUUGGGCGUAAAGCGAGCGCAGGCGGUUCUUUAAGUCUGAAGUUAAAGGCAGUGGCUUAACCAUUGUACGCUUUGGAAACUGGAGGACUUGAGUGCAGAAGGGGAGAGUGGAAUUCCAUGUGUAGCGGUGAAAUGCGUAGAUAUAUGGAGGAACACCGGUGGCGAAAGCGGCUCUCUGGUCUGUAACUGACGCUGAGGCUCGAAAGCGUGGGGAGCAAACAGGAUUAGAUACCCUGGUAGUCCACGCCGUAAACGAUGAGUGCUAGGUGUUAGGCCCUUUCCGGGGCUUAGUGCCGCAGCUAACGCAUUAAGCACUCCGCCUGGGGAGUACGACCGCAAGGUUG